UGCAGUCGAACGGAAAGGCCCCUUCGGGGGUACUCGAGUGGCGAACGGGUGAGUAACACGUGGGUGAUCUGCCCUGCACUUUGGGAUAAGCCUGGGAAACUGGGUCUAAUACCGAAUAGGACUCCGGACUGCAUGGUCUGGGGUGGAAAGCUUUUGCGGUGUGGGAUGGGCCCGCGGCCUAUCAGCUUGUUGGUGGGGUGAUGGCCUACCAAGGCGACGACGGGUAGCCGGCCUGAGAGGGUGUCCGGCCACACUGGGACUGAGAUACGGCCCAGACUCCUACGGGAGGCAGCAGUGGGGAAUAUUGCACAAUGGGCGCAAGCCUGAUGCAGCGACGCCGCGUGAGGGAUGACGGCCUUCGGGUUGUAAACCUCUUUCGCCAGGGACGAAGCGCAAGUGACGGUACCUGGAGAAGAAGCACCGGCCAACUACGUGCCAGCAGCCGCGGUAAUACGUAGGGUGCGAGCGUUGUCCGGAAUUACUGGGCGUAAAGAGCUCGUAGGUGGUUUGUCGCGUUGUUCGUGAAAACUCACAGCUUAACUGUGGGCGUGCGGGCGAUACGGGCAGACUGGAGUACUGCAGGGGAGACUGGAAUUCCUGGUGUAGCGGUGGAAUGCGCAGAUAUCAGGAGGAACACCGGUGGCGAAGGCGGGUCUCUGGGCAGUAACUGACGCUGAGGAGCGAAAGCGUGGGGAGCGAACAGGAUUAGAUACCCUGGUAGUCCACGCCGUAAACGGUGGGUACUAGGUGUGGGUUUCCUUCCUUGGGAUCCGUGCCGUAGCUAACGCAUUAAGUACCCCGCCUGGGGAGUACGGCCGCAAGGCUAAAACUCAAAGGAAUUGACGGGGGCCCGCACAAGCGGCGGAGCAUGUGGAUUAAUUCGAUGCAACGCGAAGAACCUUACCUGGGUUUGACAUGCACAGGACGCCGGCAGAGAUGUCGGUUCCCUUGUGGCCUGUGUGCAGGUGGUGCAUGGCUGUCGUCAGCUCGUGUCGUGAGAUGUUGGGUUAAGUCCCGCAACGAGCGCAACCCUUGUCUCAUGUUGCCAGCACGUUAUGGUGGGGACUCGUGAGAGACUGCCGGGGUCAACUCGGAGGAAGGUGGGGAUGACGUCAAGUCAUCAUGCCCCUUAUGUCCAGGGCUUCACACAUGCUACAAUGGCCGGUACAAAGGGCUGCGAUGCCGUGAGGUGGAGCGAAUCCUUUCAAAGCCGGUCUCAGUUCGGAUCGGGGUCUGCAACUCGACCCCGUGAAGUCGGAGUCGCUAGUAAUCGCAGAUCAGCAACGCUGCGGUGAAUACGUUCCCGGGCCUUGUACACACCGCCCGUCACGUCAUGAAAGUCGGUAACACCCGAAGCCGGUGGCCUAACCCUUGUGGAGGGAGCC
rnacentral:rRNA from 1 species